GGCCGUGUGGCGUAAUGGCAACGCGUCUGACUACGAAUCAGGAGAUUGCAGGUUCGACCCCUGUCUCGGUCA
rnacentral:tRNA from 7 species